GUUGUUUAAUCUAUUUUAGGGCAGGUAAAACCUUAGCCAUUUGUCUGCCAAUAAACUUGAAGUCUAUGGCUUGUAGGCACAUCAACCUAUUGAAGUAUUCUGUUCUAUGAUUUUCAGUGUCUUCCGAGUGAUUUUUUUAUUUGCAAGCUUGUUGUUUGAUGAAGCCACCAAUCUGGUUAACUACAUGCUUGAUUUGAGGGUGGAGAGAAGGCAUCCAUUGAAUCCUGUAGCAUGUGAGUUCGAGGAGUGUGGUGGACACAUGAAGUUAGCUGACACUCUUAAGGUUAUAUGUGAUAUUUACGACAAGUGUCCUGGGGAACAUACCUCUGCUGAACAGAGGAGAAUGGUUAGGGAAAGCAGUAACUUCUGAUGUGCUGUUCCUUAUGACUAUGCAUAUCUUUGCAGUGGAGAAUAUGGUAAAUUAUCCUGCUGAAAUUAUAUGGAGGGCCAAAUAACUGCACUUGACAAUAGCAUGAUGAUGAUGAACUCCUGAAUGAGUUAGGGAACUGGUGCUUGUGGAAAUGCCUGUGUGCGACGAGCUGGUGAUUCUGAUUUCCAAGGACUGCUGAAGAAUGAAGGGAAGGAGAGGUACGGUGUUCUGUACAAGCAGUGGCAGAAGAAUGCUGCCAAUUUCAGCAUUGACAGGCACUACCCAGUGCGGGAGCUACGGGACCGUGCUCAAAGCUGCUGGGAGAGGAUUCCAACACACGAGGGCAAGUCGGUACUUGUAUCUGAAGGUCAUUGGCCUGGCUGGAAACAAGUUGGGAGAUGUGAUUCCUGGCUCCAUCGCAAACCUUUCGAUGAGUAUGGAGUACUUGAGCAUAAGUAGCAACAUGCUACCAUAUUGUAAAGUGAAGGUAACAUAUUAUGAACAAACGUAUAAUAAUGUGAGAGUAAGUAAUGACCCGUAGCAACGCA